rnacentral:rRNA from 1 species
CCUACGGGUGGCAGCAGUAGGGAAUCUUCCGCAAUUGACGAAAGUCUGACGGAGCAACGCCGCGUGAGUGAAGAAGGUUUUCGGAUCGUAAAACUCUGUUGUUAAAGAAGAACAAGGAUGAGAGUAACUGCUCAUCCCCUGACGGUAUUUAACCAGAAAGCCACGGCUAACUACGUGCCAGCAGCCGCGGUAAUACGUAGGUCCCGAGCGUUGUCCGGAUUUAUUUGGCGUAAAGCGAGCGCAGUUGGUUUAAUAAGUCUGAUGUAAAAGGCAGUGGCUCAACCAUUGUGUGCAUUGGAAACUGUUAGACUUGAGUGCAGUAGAGGAGAGUGUAAUUCCAUGUGUAGCGGUGAAAUGCGUAGAUAUAUGGAUGAACACCGGUGGCGAAAGCGGCUCUCUGGACUGUAACUGACACUGAGGCUCGAAAGCGUGGGUAGCAA